GAUGAACGCUGGCGGCGUGCUUAACACAUGCAAGUCGAACGGAAAGGCCACAGCUUGCUGUGGUACUCGAUUGCCGAACGGGUGAGUAACACGUGUGGAAACUGCCCUUUACUUCGGGAUAAGCUUUGGAAACUGGGUCUAAUACCGGAUAUGAUUCACUUGUGCGUAUGUGUUUGGAAAGCUUUUGCGGUAUGGGGUGAGCUCGCGGCCUAUCAGCUUGUUGGUGGGGUAAUGGCCCACCAAGGCGUAGACGGGUAGCCGGCCUGUGAGGGUGUACGGCCACAUUGGUCCUGAGAUACGGCCCAGAAUCCUAUGGGAGGCAGUAGUGGGGAAUAUUGCAGAAUGGGCGCACGCCUGAUGUAGCGGCGCCGCGUGGGGGAUGCCGGCCUUCGGGUUGUAAACUCAUUUCGUAAGGGCUGAAGCGAAAGUGACGGUACCUGGACAGGAAGCACCGGCCAACUACGUG
rnacentral:rRNA from 1 species